AUUGAACGCUGGCGGCAUGCCUAACACAUGCAAGUCGAGCGAGCGGCGGACGGGUUAGUAAUGUCUGGGAAACUGCCUGAUGGAGGGGGAUAACUUCUGGAAACGGUAGCUCAUACCGCAUACCUUCCGAUGUGCCCAUAUGGGAUUAGUGAGCAGGGGGGGUAACGGCUCACUGAGGCGACGAUCCCUAGCUGGUCUGAGAGGAUGACCCGCCAAACUGGAACUGAGACACGGUCCAGACUCCUACGGGAGGCAGCAGUGGGGAAUAUUGGACAAUGGGCGAAAGCCUGAUCCAGCCAUGCCGCGUGUGUGAAGAAGGUCUGCGGAUUGGAAAGCACUUUAAGUUGGGAGGCGUUACCAACAGAAUAAGCACCGGCUAACUACGUGCCAGCAGCCGCGGUAAUAC
rnacentral:rRNA from 1 species